rnacentral:rRNA from 12 species
AGUCGGCGAAGCUCUGGUUUCAGGAAAACACAAUCUAGUUGAAAGGAAUCUGCUGAAAGAAAGAGACGUUAUCCACAUCAAAAAACUCCAUAGAAGCCGUUCAUCGAAAGGGAAUUUGGUUAUCCUCUUCUUGGAUAUUGCUAUUGCGACCAAACAUAAGUUUGAUCUUGGCUAUUU